GACGUAGGGCGCGAGCGUUGUCCGGAUUUAUUGGGCGUAAAGAGCUCGUAGGCGGCUUGUCGCGUCGAAUGUGAAAACCCGCAGCUCAACUGCGGGCUUGCAUUCGAUACGGGCAGGCUCGAGUUCGGUAGGGGAGACUGGAAUUCCUGGUGUAGCGGUGAAAUGCGCAGAUAUCAGGAGGAACACCGGUGGCGAAGGCGGGUCUCUGGGCCGAUACUGACGCUGAGGAGCGAAAGCGUGGGGAGCGAACAGG
rnacentral:rRNA from 1 species